GGGGCACGGAGCGGGGCACGGCGGGCAAGGGCUGCACACCGACGGAGCGCACGGCAGAAAAACCUGAGAGCCAAUCCAGAAGCAUAAACAUAAACUGGGCUGCGUUGAGUUACACCGUCUGGCUGGCUGGGAUACAGAAAGGAAAUAAAGCAGAGACAGUGACAUGCAAACCAGGCUGUAAAAUGUAUUUGCUCUUUGUAAUCAAAGCCUGCAAUCUGCAAGCCUGCAGAAUUCACUGCGGGAUCCUCAGCUGCUCCCGACUGAUGUCCGUGCUGCAGAAGAGCCCCAAAACAGCACACUGAAAUCUUACUAUCUACUGCAAUAAACACCUUUGUUUUUACAACC